CAGAUGUAGAUGUUCCCUCAUCAGUUUGAUACAAGUAUCACCUCCCCAGAGCCCAAAUCAGUUGAUACGAGUAGUAUCACCUCUCCCAUUCCUUCAGACUCCCAAGCACCUGCCCAUCCCACUCCAUAGCCCAGCCACCCACUCUCAUGUACCAUAUGACCAUCCCAGUAAGCAAGCCAACCACUAGAAUUUGACUGGCAUGCACCUGUGACUUACAUAAACCAGACCUCUACAUAGCCUACAUGUCUUCAUUUUGCUGGAGGUAAGGAAUUCUCAGUUGUGUUUAAUGUUUGCAUACGUACAA